UACGUAGGGUGCAAGCGUUGUCCGGAAUUAUUGGGCGUAAAGAGCUCGUAGGCGGUUUGUUGCGUCGGCUGUGAAAUCCCGAGGCUCAACCUCGGGUCUGCAGUCGAUACGAGCAAACUAGAGUGUUGCAGGGGAGACUGGAAUUCCUGGUGUAGCGGUGAAAUGCGUAGAUAUCAGGAGGAACACCGGUGGCGAAGGCGGGUCCCUGGGCCAUUCCUGACGCUGAGACGCGAAAGCGUGGGGAGCAAACAGG
rnacentral:rRNA from 1 species